rnacentral:rRNA from 1 species
UGGGGAAUAUUGCGCAAUGGGGGAAACCCUGACGCAGCGACGCCGCGUGAAGGAAGAAGGCCUUCGGGUUGUAAACUUCUUUAAUCAGGGACGAAGCAAGUGACGGUACCUGAAGAAUAAGCCACGGCUAACUACGUGCCAGCAGCCGCGGUAAUACGUAGGUGGCGAGCGUUGUCCGGAAUUACUGGGUGUAAAGGGCGUGUAGGCGGGGGCAUAAGUCAGAUGUGAAAGCCCAUGGCUUAACUGUGGGACUGCAUCUGAAACUAUGCUUCUUGAGUGCUGGAGAGGAAAGCGGAAUUCCUAGUGUAGCGGUGAAAUGCGUAGAGAUUAGGAGGAACACCAGUGGCGAAGGCGGCUUUCUGGACAGUAACUGACGCUGAGGCGCGAAAGCGUGGGGAGCAAACAGG